UAAGGAAUAUUGCGCAAUGGGGGAAACCCUGACGCAGCAACGCCGCGUGGAGGAUGACACUUUUCGGAGCGUAAACUCCUUUUAUCAGGAAAGAAUAAUGACGGUACCUGAUGAAUAAGCACCGGCUAACUCCGUGCCAGCAGCCGUGGUAAUACGGGGGGUGCAAGCGUUACUCGGAAUCACUGGGCGUAAAGGACGCGUAGGCGGAUUAUCAAGUCUUUUGUGAAAUCUAGUGGCUUAACCACUAAACUGCUUAGGAAACUGAUAGUCUAGAGUAGGGGAGAGGUAGAUGGAAUUCUUGGUGUAGGGGUAAAAUCCGUAGAGAUCAAGAAGAAUACCCAUUGCGAAAGCGAUCUGCUGGAACCUAACUGACGCUGAGGCGUGAAAGCGUGGGUAGCAAACAGG
rnacentral:rRNA from 1 species